rnacentral:rRNA from 1 species
AUGCACGCUGGCGGCGUGCCUAAUACCUGCAAGUCGCGCGAACGGACGAGAAGCUUGCUUCUCUGAUGUUAGCGGCGGACGGGUGAGUAACACGUGGAUAACCUACCUAUAAGACUGGGAUAACUUCGGGAAACCGGAGCUAAUACCGGAUAAUAUUUUGAACCGCAUGGUUCAAAAGUGAAAGACGGUCUUGCUGUCACUUAUAGAUGGAUCCGCGCUGCAUUAGCUAGUUGGUAAGGUAACGGCUUACCAUGGCAACGAUGCAUAGCCGACCUGAGAGGGUGAUCGGCCACACUGGAACUGAGACACGGUCCAGACUCCUACGGGAGGCAGCAGUAGGGAAUCUUCCGCAAUGGGCGAAAGCCUGACGGAGCAACGCCGCGUGAGUGAUGAAGGUCUUCGGAUCGUAAAACUCUGUUAUUAGGGAAGAACAUAUGUGUAAGUAACUGUGCACAUCUUGACGGUACCUAAUCAGAAAGCCACGGCUAACUACGUG